GAGGAAUAUUGGUCAAUGGACGGAAGUCUGAACCAGCCAAGUAGCGUGCAGGAUGACGGCCCUAUGGGUUGUAAACUGCUUUUGUAUGGGGAUAAAGUUAGGGACGUGUCCCUAUUUGCAGGUACCAUACGAAUAAGGACCGGCUAAUUCCGUGCCAGCAGCCGCGGUAAUACGGAAGGUCCAGGCGUUAUCCGGAUUUAUUGGGUUUAAAGGGAGCGUAGGCUGGAGAUUAAGUGUGUUGUGAAAUGUAGACGCUCAACGUCUGAAUUGCAGCGCAUACUGGUUUCCUUGAGUACGCACAACGUUGGCGGAAUUCGUCGUGUAGCGGUGAAAUGCUUAGAUAUGACGAAGAACUCCGAUUGCGAAGGCAGCUGACGGGAGCGCAACUGACGCUUAAGCUCGAAGGUGCGGGUAUCGAACAGGAUUAGAUACCCUGGUAGUCCGCACAGUAAACGAUGGAUGCCCGCUGUUGGUACCUGGUAUCAGCGGCUAAGCGAAAGCAUUAAGCAUCCCACCUGGGGAGUACGCCGGCAACGGUG
rnacentral:rRNA from 1 species